rnacentral:piRNA from 1 species
CCUAUAGGAAAUAUUACAGAUGGCACCA